rnacentral:rRNA from 1 species
AUUGAACGCUGGCGGCAUGCCUUACACAUGCAAGUCGAACGGCAGCACGGGAGCUUGCUCCUGGUGGCGAGUGGCGAACGGGUGAGUAAUACAUCGGAACGUACCCAGUAGUGGGGGAUAACGCACCGAAAGGUGCGCUAAUACCGCAUACGACCUACGGGUGAAAGCGGGGGACCGUAAGGCCUCGCGCUAUUGGAGCGGCCGAUGUCUGAUUAGCUAGUUGGCGGGGUAAUAGCCCACAAAGGCGACGAUCAGUAGCUGGUCUGAGAGGACGAUCAGCCACACUGGGACUGAGACACGGCCCAGACUCCUACGGGAGGCAGCAGUGGGGAAUUUUGGACAAUGGGGGCAACCCUGAUCCAGCAAUGCCGCGUGUGCGAAGAAGGCCUUCGGGUUGUAAAGCACUUUUGUCAGGGAAGAAAUCUUUCAGGCUAAUACCCUUGGAAGGAUGACGGUACCUGAAGAAUAAGCACUGGCUAACUACGUGCCAGCAGCCGCUGUAA